ensembl:rRNA 5S_rRNA 5S ribosomal RNA
GUCUGCGGCCAUGCCACCCUGAAUAAGCCCAAUCCUGUCUGAUCUCGGAAGCUAAGCAGGGUCAGACCUGGUUAGUAUUUGGAUGGGAGAUAAUCUAGGAAGACCAGAUGCUUUAGGCA